GUUGUUUAAUUCGAAGCAACGCGAAGAACCUUACCAGGUCUUGACAUCCCCUGACAACCCAAGAGAUUCGGGCGUUCCCCUUCGGGGGACGAGGGUGACAGGUGGUGCAUGGUGUCGUCAGCUCGUGUCGUGAGAUGUUGGGUUAAGUCCCGCAACGAGCGCAACCCUCGCUGUGUGUUAUAUGUGUCACACGGGACUGCCGGUCUUAAGCCGGAGGAAGGUGGGGAUGAUGUCAAGUCAGCAUGGCCUUUAUAUCCUGGGCUACACACACGCUACAAUGGCCAACACAAUAGGUUGCUAAGCCGCGAGGUGGCGCCAAUCCAUAAAGUUGGUCUCAGUUCAGAUUGUAGGCUGCAACCCGCCUGCAUGAAGAUGGAGUUGCUAGUAACCGCAGGUCAGCUAUACUGCGGUGAAUACGUUUCCGGGGCUU
rnacentral:rRNA from 1 species